rnacentral:rRNA from 1 species
UGGGGAUUAGUGGCGAACGGGUGAGUAACACGUGAGCAACCUGCCCCUCACUCUGGGAUAAGCGCUGGAAACGGCGUCUAAUACUGGAUACGAGGCACAACCGCAUGGUUAGUGUCUGGAAAGAUUUUUUGGUGGGGGAUGGGCUCGCGGCCUAUCAGCUUGUUGGUGAGGUAAUGGCUCACCAAGGCGUCGACGGGUAGCCGGCCUGAGAGGGUGACCGGCCACACUGGGACUGAGACACGGCCCAGACUCCUACGGGAGGCAGCAGUGGGGAAUAUUGCACAAUGGGCGGAAGCCUGAUGCAGCAACGCCGCGUGAGGGAUGACGGCCUUCGGGUUGUAAACCUCUUUUAGCAGGGAAGAAGCGAAAGUGACGGUACCUGCAGAAAAAGCACCGGCUAACUACGUGCCAGCAGCCGCGGUAAUACGUAGGGUGCAAGCGUUAUCCGGAAUUAUUGGGCGUAAAGAGCUCGUAGGCGGUUUGUCGCGUCUGCUGUGAAAUCCCGAGGCUCAACCUCGGGCCUGCAGUGGGUACGGGCAGACUAGAGUGCGGUAGGGGAGAUUGGAAUUCCUGGUGUAGCGGUGGAAUGCGCAGAUAUCAGGAGGAACACCGAUGGCGAAGGCAGAUCUCUGGGCCGUAACUGACGCUGAGGAGCGAAAGGGUGGGGAGCAAACAGGCUUAGAUACCCUGGUAGUCCACCCCGUAAACGUUGGGAACUAGUUGUGGGGUCCUUUCCACGGAUUCCGUGACGCAGCUAACGCAUUAAGUUCCCCGCCUGGGGAGUACGGCCGCAAGGCUAAAACUCAAAGGAAUUGACGGGGACCCGCACAAGCGGCGGAGCAUGCGGAUUAAUUCGAUGCAACGCGAAGAACCUUACCAAGGCUUGACAUACACGAGAACGGGCCAGAAAUGGUCAACUCUUUGGACACUCGUGAACAGGUGGUGCAUGGUUGUCGUCAGCUCGUGUCGUGAGAUGUUGGGUUAAGUCCCGCAACGAGCGCAACCCUCGUUCUAUGUUGCCAGCACGUAAUGGUGGGAACUCAUGGGAUACUGCCGGGGUCAACUCGGAGGAAGGUGGGGAUGACGUCAAAUCAUCAUGCCCCUUAUGUCUUGGGCUUCACGCAUGCUACAAUGGCCGGUACAAAGGGCUGCAAUACCGUGAGGUGGAGCGAAUCCCAAAAAGCCGGUCCCAGUUCGGAUUGAGGUCUGCAACUCGACCUCAUGAAGUCGGAGUCGCUAGUAAUCGCAGAUCAGCAACGCUGCGGUGAAUACGUUCCCGGGUCUUGUACACACCGCCCGUCAAGUCAUGAAAGUCGGUAA